rnacentral:rRNA from 1 species
CCGGGAAACCGGGGCUAAUACCGGAUAACAUUUUGAACUGCAUGGUUCGAAAUUGAAAGGCGGCUUCGGCUGUCACUUAUGGAUGGACCCGCGUCGCAUUAGCUAGUUGGUGAGGUAACGGCUCACCAAGGCAACGAUGCGUAGCCGACCUGAGAGGGUGAUCGGCCACACUGGGACUGAGACACGGCCCAGACUCCUACGGGAGGCAGCAGUAGGGAAUCUUCCGCAAUGGACGAAAGUCUGACGGAGCAACGCCGCGUGAGUGAUGAAGGCUUUCGGGUCGUAAAACUCUGUUGUUAGGGAAGAACAAGUGCUAGUUGAAUAAGCUGGCACCUUGACGGUACCUAACCAGAAAGCCACGGCUAACUACGUGCCAGCAGCCGCGGUAAUACGUAGGUGGCAAGCGUUAUCCGGAAUUAUUGGGCGUAAAGCGCGCGCAGGUGGUUUCUUAAGUCUGAUGUGAAAGCCCACGGCUCAACCGUGGAGGGUCAUUGGAAACUGGGAGACUUGAGUGCAGAAGAGGAAAGUGGAAUUCCAUGUGUAGCGGUGAAAUGCGUAGAGAUAUGGAGGAACACCAGUGGCGAAGGCGACUUUCUGGUCUGUAACUGACACUGAG